UGAUAUUCCUGUACUACCGAUAACCGUUUGAGAGAAGGGAUGACACAGUAGGAUAAGCUAAGCACACUGUUGGUUAUGUGUGCCCAAGCAUUGAGGCAGUCAAAGUAGGCAAAUCCGCUUUGAUAAUACUGGGAUGUGAUGGGGAGCGAAAUUUAGUAGCGAAGUAGCUGAUUUCACACUGUCAAGAAAAGUCUCUAUCGAGGUUAAAGGUACCCGUACCGCAAACCGACACAGGUGGGUGAGGAGAGUAUCCUAAGGCCAGCGAGAGAACUGUUGUUAAG
rnacentral:rRNA from 1 species